GUGUUUUUCUCUUAGGGAUGGGAGUGCAUUGAUAGUAUUGAGGAAGCUGCCAAUAGAGCUGAAGCCAGAGAAUGAGAGGGCCGACAGAGUUUCUUACCACCUGAAGUGCAAACACUGUCAGAAUGAAUUGAUGGCUUUCAUAUUAUAUGUUGACAAUGCUACUACUCAGGAGUGGGAAUGUGGUCAAAAAGACAGAUAUGACUGUCCAUCCUUUCCAGAGAAUAUUGCUGUGAUAAGAAACAUUCACAGGGGCCUUUUUUGUUUUAGCUCCCAAGGUUACUUUGGUGUGUACAUCUUACUUUUUAUUUUCCAAACGUAUUGUUG
rnacentral:lncRNA from 10 species